UACGAAGGGGGCUAGCGUUGUUCGGAAUUACUGGGCGUAAAGGGCGCGUAGGCGGCCUGCUAAGUCGAACGUGAAAUCCCCAGGCUCAACCUGGGAACUGCGUCCGAUACUGACAGGCUUGAAUCCGGGAGAGGGAUGUGGAAUUCCAGGUGUAGCGGUGAAAUGCGUAGAUAUCUGGAGGAACACCGGUGGCGAAGGCGGCAUCCUGGACCGGUAUUGACGCUGAGGCGCGAAAGCUAGGGUAGCAAACGGG
rnacentral:rRNA from 1 species